GAGCGAACAGACGAGGAGCUUGCUCCUCUGACGUUAGCGGCGGACGGGUGAGUAACACGUGGAUAACCUACCUAUAAGACUGGGAUAACUUCGGGAAACCGGAGCUAAUACCGGAUAAUAUAUUGAACCGCAUGGUUCAAUAGUGAAAGACGGUUUUGCUGUCACUUAUAGAUGGAUCCGCGCCGCAUUAGCUAGUUGGUAAGGUAACGGCUUACCAAGGCAACGAUGCGUAGCCGACCUGAGAGGGUGAUCGGCCACACUGGAACUGAGACACGGUCCAGACUCCUACGGGAGGCAGCAGUAGGGAAUCUUCCGCAAUGGGCGAAAGCCUGACGGAGCAACGCCGCGUGAGUGAUGAAGGUCUUCGGAUCGUAAAACUCUGUUAUUAGGGAAGAACAAAUGUGUAAGUAACUAUGCACGUCUUGACGGUACCUAAUCAGAAAGCCACGGCUAACUACGUGCCAGCAGCCGCGGUAAUACGUAGGUGGCAAGCGUUAUCCGGAAUUAUUGGGCGUAAAGCGCGCGUAGGCGGUUUUUUAAGUCUGAUGUGAAAGCCCACGGCUCAACCGUGGAGGGUCAUUGGAAACUGGAAAACUUGAGUGCAGAAGAGGAAAGUGGAAUUCCAUGUGUAGCGGUGAAAUGCGCAGAGAUAUGGAGGAACACCAGUGGCGAAGGCGACUUUCUGGUCUGUAACUGACGCUGAUGUGCGAAAGCGUGGGGAUCAAA
rnacentral:rRNA from 1 species